rfam:Camelus ferus unplaced genomic scaffold scaffold1720, whole genome shotgun sequence.
GGAGGUAGAGCUCAGUGGCAGAGCACAUGCUUAGCAUACAUGAGGUCGUGGGUUCAAUCCCCAGUACCUCCA